rnacentral:rRNA from 1 species
UACGUAGGUGGCAAGCGUUUGUUCGGAAUUAUUGGGCGUAAAGGGCGCGUAGGCGGUUUGUUAAGUCAGCUGUGAAAGCCCGGGGCUCAACCCCGGAGGGUCAGCUGAUACUGGCAGACUAGAGUACAGAAGAGGUAACUGGAAUUCCCGGUGUAGCGGUGAAGUGCGUAGAUAUCGGGAGGAACACCUGAGGCGAAGGCGGGUUACUGGGCUGAUACUGACGCUGAUGCGCGAAAGCCAGGGGAGCAAACGGG